CGGAGCAGCUGCGCCACCGCCGCGGUUUCCAUGACGACCUGACCGCGCCCCCAACUGCAGAUCCGCUGCCGGGGCGAUUUCCAGGACGCAGGACCCUGCAGACCUCAGCAUCCUUGGCAUCUCACUGGCGCCCACAACCGGCUCUGGAAUUGAGGAUUUUCGUUCAGGACAGGUGAAGAGAUAACAUCUAGAAUGAUCAGCUGUACUGGGAAAAAUCUAAUACUGUGUGUUCUUGUACAUGUGAAGAUGUGGAGUCAAGGACCUGUGGAAAAAUUCUCUUGCAAGAAUGUGCCUCAAGAUAUGGAGAGAGAAAAUGAGGUAGCCAGGCCAUGUACUGUGUGAAUAAUUAAUAUCCUGGUCUUGUUGCUAUUUACUUUUGAAUAAUUCCAGUGCUUUAAAAAGGGAGGAGUCUUGCUUAAGGAGGAAGUUCACUUGAUAAUUGGAUGGGCAUGGAGCAUGGUGCAUGGGAGAGUCUGAGGUCCUCAACAGUGGUUGCUCCUGAAGCCAGGAUCCACAAAAGAAAUGCUCAUUUCUCACAGCGGCUACUAGUGCCUGAUGAAAUAUGAUUUGCAUAUUUUUUCCUUCUUUUUCACAAAGAGCUUGUAGUGGUCACACAAGUGUGUCAUCACUUUUACAGACUUGCAAGUGACAAAAAACCUCUAUAAGCAGCAAGAAUGGUAUUUGAAAUGAAUGCACCUUAAUUGGGGAGAAAAUUCUAUAAGACAUUAGACUUGUUUUCUAAACCCACAUUCAUCUGGAACUGUCUCACUCCUGAUCCCCACUUCCUACAUAAAAAUGAGUUAUGUGCAUUUGUCAUCUGUAGCCAAUCAGAAAAUUCCCUCAGGACAAUGACUCUGUUCUCAAAAGUGUGGUCCUCAAAUCUGCAGUAUCAGCCUAACCUGGGAAAUUGUUGGAAAUGCAAGACCUGAAUGGGAAACUCUGGGGUGGGACCUGGCAAUCUAAGUGUUAAUGAACCAUUCAGGUGAUUCUGAUGAGUGCCACUCUGUGCAGAAAAUGAAUUAUUGGCAAGUGGCCAGAAAGGUCCUCCCAGAGGGACCAUUCUCUAAUUACUAACAGUUCAUUUUAAAAGUUAAGAUUUAGUAUUUCUCAUAGGAUAAACAGUUUUAAAUUUUUCAGCAAUAUCCUUUAAAAAUAAAAUGAAGAUGUUUUCCCACAAGUUUAAUAUUUCAAUGAUUUUGAUUAGUAUAAAUGCCUUGUCUACUUUUUAAAUUCUCAUAAUUCAAGCAUAGAUAAUGAAUGCUUUGGAAUAGUAUAACAAAUUGGCUAAUAACAGUGAUUUAAUAAAAGUUAGGCUCUAGGGGUUGGGGAUAUAACUCUGUUGGUAGAGUGCUUGCCUCACAAGCACAAGGCCCUGGGUUCAAUUCUCAGCACUGCAAAAAAAAAAAAAAAAAAAAAAAAAAGCAAACAGACAAAAAUGUUAAACUAUCAAACAGUGGGAAGAAAAACCUAAACUAUGUUCAUAUCUAAAAUCUCCAAUUGCCUUAGUUAAUCCAUGCCUAGUUUAUAUACUUUCUUAUAGGAAGAAUUAGAAACAUACAAGGUGUUUUAUCUAGAAAUACUAGAAAAUUAAAAAAAAAGAUAUAGUCUCUCUAAUACCCCACUAAAUUUCCUUUGCAGUUUAUCAUUGCACCAUCCACAACUUUUUAUAACUAUGGGUUAAUUAGCAUUCUAUAUAAGUGGAAGUAUAACAGUAUAUACUCUUUUAUCUGACUUCUUUUCACUCAACAUGAUUUUUUUCCACAUUUUUAUGGGUGUAUUAUAGUUGUACAAUAAUGAUGGGAUUUGUUGUAACAUAUUCAUACAUACACACAAUAUAAUAAUACAAAUUGACCAAUAAUGCUCCCUAGCAUCUCCCCGCUCCCACUCUUUGGUCCCUUCUCUCUACUGAUCUCCCUUUGAUUUUCAUCAGACCCACCCCCAUCUUUCUUUUCCUUUUUCCUCUCUAGCUUCCACAUAUGAGAGAAUAUAUAUGACCA